AGAUUAAUUUAAUCUAGUCCCUAUAAUACAUAUAUCAAUACCUUAACGUCAUUGUUUUUGGAAAGAAAAUUUUUUUCUAUCCUUUCCGUUAUUUUAUUUUGUUCAAAUGAGAGAUUUCAUUCACAAAAAAAGCCCAAAUACAGCAUAAAGGGCUAAAGCCUAGAAAAUACAACAAGCAAAGCCCAAAGCUAAGCUUAACAGAACCCAGUCCCUCAAAGAAACCGUAGCAAUAGUCUCUGCCAACGCCAAGCAUGGAAGGGGAGAAAGCACUAGGAACAUGGUGAGAGGUUACCGCACCUAACCCAACGGCAUGCAUGCCUCCAACUAGAGCGUUGCCACCAUGAAAUCCCCAAAAAAGACGCUGAAACCACCACAACAACCACUAGAACAUCAACAUAGGAGAAGCCAUUGCUAAAAACAACUUAGAAACUCAAAAAUAAUAGCCACAAAAAACGAAACUAGCAUGGUGACACCAAAGUCCAUCGAAGUUCAAAUCCGAAAAAACCUCAGAGAGGUGUUGAUGUUACGAUAGCAAAAGAGAAGAGGGUUUCACAAAACUGAGGAGAAAAAAAGUACGUAAAAGAAAAAAAAAAAAAGGCCUUGGCAGAGGCCUUAAGGAUGGACAUCAAAACAUGGGAGAAUCCAUGGAUCACCAAGGCACCUACCUCUCACCAUGGGAAGAGGCCGUAUCUUAGGUUACUAUAUCCAAAAACAAAAGCAAUGAAAGAAAGACAACUACCACUUCACUAUUGGCCUACUUUGCCUUGACCCUUUUUGGU
rnacentral:lncRNA from 1 species